AGUCUUUCAACCACCUGUGAACUUUUGAUAGAUCUGUGAAGUCGUCCUUCAAGUCGUCAGACUUGGUUUGCUGGGAUUUAAACGUCUCGGUGUGACAACGCAGUCUAUUUACUUACACACCCCAAAUGUAUGUCUACGAAUGUCAUUUAAUGGGCCUUGUGCCUAUAAACCAUAAUACAACUUUCAACAACGGAUCUCUUGGCUCUCGCAUCGAUGAAGAACGCAGCGAAAUGCGAUAAGUAAUGUGACUUGCAGAAUUCAGUGAAUCAUUGACUCUUUGAACGCAGCUUGCGCCCCUUGGUAUUCCGAGGGGCAUGCCUGUUUGAGUGUCAUUAAAUUCUCAAACUCACAUUUAUUUGUGAUGUUUGGAUUGUUGGGGGCUGCUGGCCUUAACAGGUCGGCUCCUCUUAAAUGCAUUAGCAGGACUUCUCAUUGCCUCUGCGCAUGAUGUGAUAAUUAUCACUCAUCAAUAGCACGCAUGAAUAGAGUCCAGCUCUCUAAUCGUCCGCAAGGACAAUUUGACAAUUUGACCUCAAAUCAGGUAGGACUACCCGCUGAACUUAAGCAUAUCAAUACGCGGAGGAAAAGAAACUAACAAGGAUUCCCCUAGUAACUGCGAGUGAAGCGGGAAAAGCUCAAAUUUAAAAUCUGGUGGUCUUUGGCCAUCCGAGUUGUAAUCUAGAGAAGUGUUAUCCGCGCUGGACCGUGUACAAGUCCCCUGGAAUGGGGCGUCAUAGAGGGUGAGAAUCCCGUCUUUGAAACGGACUACCAGGGCUUUGUGAUGCACUCUCAAAGAGUCGAGUUGUUUGGGAAUGCAGCUCAAAAUGGGUGGUAAAUUCCAUCUAAAGCUAAAUAUUGGCGAGAGACCGAUAGCGAACAAGUACCGUGAGGGAAAGAUGAAAAGAACUUUGGAAAGAGAGUUAAACAGUACGUGAAAUUGUUGAAAGGGAAACGCUUGAAGUCAGUCGCGUCUGCCAGGGAUCAACCUUACUUUUGUGAGGCGUACUUCCUGGUUGAUGGGUCAGCAUCAGUUUUGGUAGCUGGAUAAAGGUCAGAGAAAUGUGGCACCUUCGGGUGUGUUAUAGUCUUUGAUCAGAUACAGUGGCUGGGACUGAGGAACUCC
rnacentral:rRNA from 1 species